UUGCUCUCCCAAAUCCGAGUCGACUCUGGUCUAUAAGUGUGAGGAUGGUCCAAUCCAAAGUACCUGCGCGUCUAUGACCCCCAGAAAAAGAAAAGAAAAGAGUUCCUGAGUUUCAGAGGUCCAUUAUACGUUUUUGUUGAGAUCUGCUACACAAACAAUGGACAUCAGUCACGUUAGCAGUCCUUCCUCAUCAAUGUCUCUACGGCCAGACUACCAUGUAUUCCUGAGUUUCAGAGGGCCAGACACACGCAGGAACUUUGCGGAUUUCCUGUACACCAGCUUGAAAGAUGUUGGGAUUCGCGUCUUUAAGGAUGAUAAAGAUCUGGAGGUAGGCAAAGCAAUAAACCCCCAGCUGAUCCAGGCGAUUGAGCAGUCCAAGAUAUCAAUGCCCAUCAUCUCCAAGAAGUACGCAUCCAGCAAGAGCUGCCUCAUGGAAUUGGACGAAAUGGUGAAGUGCAUGGAGAAUAAGAAUCAUAUCAUCAUCCCCAUCUUCUACUACGUCAAACCAUCGGAUGUACGCGACUGCGCAGGCCCUUUCCAGGAGGCCUCGAAUAAGCACAAGAAGCGCGGCAGAGAUGACAGUAUCCUUAAUCCCCGGAUGCCCGCUUUCUGUCAGAUCGGAGAGUUGACGGGAUACCAUCUCCAAAACAAAAAAAAUGAAAAGCCUCUUGGCGAGGUCAUAAAGCAAAUUGUCCAUGAAGUUGAGAAGAAGCUGAAGACGAGGGACCUAGUUGUGCCAAAACAAUUAGUUGGAGUCGAUCCUCGUGCGCAAGAUAUAAUGGCAAAGCUGAAGGUUGUCUACCGCAAUGGGCAAGCUGAAAUUGGGGAACCACGUGAAAUGGUUUUAGGAAUAUAUGGCAUCCCUGGGGUUGGUAAGACGGUUCUGGCCAAAUAUGUUUAUAAUCAACUUCAUCAUCUGUUCGAUGCCUGUAGCUUUCUCGAGAAUAUCCAAGAAGAAAGUAGAGAUCACGGCAUCUUGUCUGUGCAAAACAGACUAAUUUCCGACCUCCACAAGGGAAAUGCCCAAAGGUUCGAUCUUUAUGACCAUGCUCUGAAACAUAUUCAGGAAAGGUUUCGCCACAUGAAGGUCCUUCUUCUCCUUGACAAUGUGAAGGAUCAUGAACAGCUCCGUACAUUAGUCGGAGACCUUGGUUGGUUGCACCCGGAGAGCAGGGUCAUUCUGACAUCCCGAAGUUGUGAUGUCCUUCAAAAAGUUGACGGUGCAGAAAAUUACGUCCUUGGAUCGAUGAAAAAAGAUAAAGCUCUGACGUUAUUCUGUAAGCAUGCUUUCAAAUCGGAUUCUCCCCCCGAGGAUUUUGAGAGACUUGCAACAGAUAUCGUUGCUGCCACUGACAGGCUUCCUUUGGCGCUUGAGAAGAUAGGUGGGUUUCUGUUCGAAAAAGCAAAGAGGCGUGGAAGGAAAAACUGAUUCAGUUAAAAGACGCUCCUGACGAGAGGGUCCAAGAAGCCUUCCUCAAGAGCUAUACUACCCUAGAUGAGAAUGCCCGACAGAUAUUUCUUGAUAUAGCAUGUUUCUUCAACAGAAUGGACAAGAGAAUCCCCCAUUACAUGUGGAAACACUCUGGGUAUUCUCCUUGUAUGUCGAUUCUAUCUCUUCGUGCCAGGUCUUUGGUAGAAAUAGGAGAGGAUAAAAAACUAUGCAUGCAGAGAAUACUGAUGGCCUUUGGCAGGGAAAUUGUCAAGCGUGAAAACAAGAAUGAACCUUGCCAGCGCAGUAGGCUGUGGAACCACGAAGAGGCACUGGAUGUACUAAACAAAGGGAAGGGUACCAAGAAAGUUGAAGCCCUCGGGCUCAAGUUUGCUGACAGAUCUGAAAGGAAUAUCAUCAGUUUUCAAUGUGAUCAAUUUAAUGACUUGCAGAACUUAAGGUUCCUCGACCUGGAUCGAGCUGAUAUUCAAGCUGAUAUUAACGCUUGUAUUCUAGGAGAAUUUCGGAAUCAUUUUUUGAGAUUAAGGUGGCUUGGUUGGCAAGGGACACCUUUGAGGUUUGACAUUAAAUCGCUACAGCUGAAUUUGCAAAACUUGGUGAUUCUUGAUUUGUCGGGUAGUCAGGAGCUCCGAGUGCUCGAAGAGUGGAAUGGUUGGGAGUUGAUUUUGAAUGCACGUAAACUGAAAGUUUUGAAACUAACUGGUUGUACCCGUUUGAAUUCCACUCCAAAAUUUCCUGAUUCAUUGGGGCUAAAAAGACUCAUUCUGGAAGGUUGCUCUGGAUUAGCAGCUAUUGAUUCGUCAAUUCAUAAUCUGCACAAGUUAGUUUCUUUGAACAUGAAGGGAUGCAGUUUCCUCUGUAAAAUGCCAGAUUUGGGUAGCAUAAAAGGCUUGAAAGAGCUGGUGAUCGAUGAAACUUCCAUUUCUAAGAUUGAAUUCCAUAAAGAUUCCAUGAGGAAGCUCAAAUUUCUCAGUGCUCGCAAUUGUGAAAACCUGACUGAAAUAUCCGAUUUGAUCAAGUACUUAGAGUCUCUCAAAUAUCUUUCUCUCGACGGCUCUAAAAUCAAAACCCUACCGGAGUCCAUUGGAUCGCUUGCAAAAAUGAAGACACUGUCUCUAAAGAACUGCCGGAGGCUAACUACUCUUCCUGAUGGAAUAGGAAGGCUCAGCUCACUGCAAUUGCUGGAUUUAUCUGACACUGCGAUUAAGAAGUUACCAACGUCAGUCAAGGAUUUGAAAGCUACGAAAGUGUUGAGGGGUACUUUCAUACAGGAACAGGAUUUUCCCGAAACUACUCUGAAUUCAGAGAACCUGGUAGAGAUAAAUGUCUCGUACGCCAGGAAUUAGAUGGGGGGAUCCACUUCGACAUUCCAGGAUUGCCGUCUUUGGCAAUCACGAACCAAAGAUAGAUUUCUCCAAGUAUCUCCUCUCUUUCUCGUCUCCGGAAGUACACAUCUUCAGAUGCGACGAUCUUCAGAGCGUACCCAAGUUGCACUGUUUGGUUAAUGUUUUCUCGUGAUCUGGGUAAUUAGAUUCCAAACAAUAUUUUAAGAGAUUUUAUUUACUUCUCUUAAUAGCUUUCCGAUAAUUUUUUAUUAGUG